ensembl:snRNA U6 U6 spliceosomal RNA
GUGCCCUAGCUUCAGCAGCACAUAUACAAAAUUGGAAGGACAUAGAGAAUAUUAGCACGGUCCUCUGUAAGGAUGACACAUAAAUUCAUGACAUGUUCUAUUUUUUG